rnacentral:rRNA from 1 species
AAUUUGGCCUGCCCCCUGAUCGUAAGGUAUUAAAGGGCCGCAGUAUUAUAACUGUGCAAAGGUAGCAUAGUCAUUAGGUUUUUAAUUAGAAUCUUGUAUGAAUGGUUGGACAAAAGAAAGACUCUCUUUAUAUUAAUGUUGAAUUUAACUUUUAAGUGAGAAGGCUUAAAUAAACUAAGGGGACGAUAAGACCCUAUAAAACUUUAUAUUAUAAUUAUAUUUUGACGAAUUUGUAUUAAAUAAAGAUUUAGUUUAAUUAUUUAUUGUGUUGGGGAGACAUAAGUAAAAUAUUAUUUUAACUGCUUGAAAUUUAUACAAUUAUUUGUGAGUAGUAAAAGAUCCUUUUUAAAGAUUAAUAGAUUAAGUUACUUUAGGGAUAACAGCGUAAUUUCUUUUGAGAGUUCUUAUCGAUAAAGAAGGUUGCGACCUCGAUGUUGAAUUAAAAAAUCUAUAUAAUGAAGAAGUUAUAUAAGAAGGUCUGUUCGACCUUUAAAAUUUU